rnacentral:lncRNA from 1 species
AGCUGCCUGGCUAGGGACCGUCCUUCCCAGCACUCUCUGCACCUGGGUGUCGCCGUGUAUUUGGUUCUUACCCACGGAAUGCCAGCAGAAGUCCUGGAUAACUCUGAGUCCAGAAUUUUAAGAAAUGCGUCCUCCUCCUGUGGGCCCUCAAGAGUGAAGAUUCCUAAUCCUGUGGUUGCUGGGCCAUCAGCCUUGUUGUGCUCCGUCUCUAUCCCAUGCAGUGGUAAAGCAGGACAGCCACACAUCAUCUGGUUUGAGAAACGUGGUGAGGUUGCGGGGUUCUCUUUUUAAUAGUUUUUUUUUUUAAAUAUAUGAAUUCAAAGAAGCUUUUAGAUUUAUACAAAUUGGCUUGGUUUACCAUUAAGUAAAAUUAAUAUUGGGUUCAAUUAAUGAAUGCAGAUUUGUCUGUCCUUCAUUUUCAUCCCUUGGUUCCUCUGAUUUUUUUUUUCGGGUGUUUUUCAUAAACAAAAGUUAAGGCAGUUCUCA